UAGUGCUAUAUCCUGUCGUUCAAAAGUACAAAUCCGAUCUAACUCAAAUCGCAGACCUGGAAAAUGUUUACGCAUGCGUAUUUUCCGUGUAAUUUAAAACCAUAUUAAAACAUAAAAAUAGCCUCGUGCGCCAGCUCAAAGCUUAAUGUAAGGCUUAUUAUUUCUCUAUAAACUUAUGUAAACAGAUUAAUACAUAUAUUAAGUUAUAAUUAAACAUAUAUAGUUUAUCAUAAUAUUAGAUAUUGUUAUGUACUUAUAAUAUAUAAAACAAAUAAAGCUUUUGUUGUUUGUUGUUGUUAAGAAUUAUCAUUCAUCGAUUCAUUUCAAAUCAACAUUUAAUAAAAUGUCAUCAUCUGAUAGAGAAAAAAUGUUGGAAAGUAUUGUUGCACAACAAACAGAAAUAUUGGAACAGCAAAGAGAGAUGUUAAAACGUGUUGGGCAAUUAGAAGAUAAGGCAGGUAUAUAAUGUUCAAAAAAAGUUAUCUACAAUCUUCUUAAUACGGAGGUCACUUUUAUCAUUUUUCAAAAACUUUUAUUGAGGGUUUUUGGUUUUUGUCAAUAUAAUGGUAAUAUAUGUUUUGAU